GAAAUUAUAGUACCUGUGAAGAUGCAGGUUACCCGCGACAGGACGGAAAGACCCCGUGGAGCUUUACUGCAACCUGAUAUGGAAUGUUUGUACCGCUUGUACAGGAUAGGUAGGAGCCGAAGAGACGGGUGCGCUAGCAUACGAGGAGGCAAUGGUGGGAUACUACCCUGGCUGUAUGACCAUUCUAACCCGCCACGCUUAGCGCGGGGGUAGACAGUGUCAGGUGUGCCGUUCUACUGGGGCGGGCGCCUCUUA
rnacentral:rRNA from 1 species